UUUCCCUCUAAACACUGAAUACAUAAUUCAGAAAUUCUCUGAGAGGUUGAAAAUUAUUUCCUCACAUUUGGAGAUAAGAAUAUAAAAUAUUAAUUCACUUUUUUAAAAAAGAGAGUAAAUCAUUGUUUCUUUUACCGUCACCUACUGCAUAACAUUCCACAUCUAACCCCCUUUGUAUGGCCAUAGCGUAUAUCUUAUUGAGAUUAAAUACACUUUUUACACAAACCAAAUAAUUCUUUUAGUUUUCUAGAUAACUGGCAUCAUAAUACUUCUGUUUCUGUUUUUUUAAAAUUGGGACCUAUUUUGUUAUUACCCUAUAUUACUAGUGUAAUAAAAUAAUAUCACUUAAUGUUCUCAUAUCCUUUAAUUAUAGACUGAGUAGUGUUGGAGGAAAGUCCCUGGGGCCUAGUAGAGGGACAAGUUGUGGACUGUUAGACAUGGUCUAACAGUCUAAAGCUCUAAGCAGCCAACUAAAUUGUUUGAAGUAUAAAAGUGGCAAAUGCAAUCUUCAUAUUUAUUUGGUGACUGCAGUAAGUAGCAUCUGUAAUUUUCAAAGACCACGUAAAAUCAAUACCACAGAGAGGAUCAAGGCUAGCUAUAGCCCUGAAAAUCCAGCACAGUCCCAAGCCUCCCUUUGUAUAACAAAUAUGUUAUUAUUUCUCCUUUAUAAUCUUAACACGGAAUUCUUAGAUAAUUUAACCUACCUACAUGCAAAAAUUUAGGAAAAUAAAUGUAAUGCCCUAGUUGUAAAAUAAAAAAGGAAUAAAAAUAAAACAAUAAAUACAUUCCAGUUUGUAAAUCCAUGAGCAC
rnacentral:lncRNA from 1 species